CCCAAAGAGACAUCAAUGGAAAGUCUGAGAAGGCAGCAGCACAGAAGUUUCAAACCCACUUGAGGACAGCAUCAAAACAUGUAAACAAAGACCUGGGAAACAUGGAGGAAAACAAAAAAUUAGAAGAAAACAAUCACAAAACAGAAGCUUAAGAGAAAUAUUUUUCCCCCAAUUGCUGUUACAGAGAAAAAAAAACAUAUAGACCAAUUGAAGCAUGAACGUGGAUUGUAUUUAAGACAUAUACAAAGACAUUGACAGCU
rnacentral:lncRNA from 1 species